rnacentral:misc_RNA from 1 species
AAAGUGAUAGAGACACUGAUGACGGGUAUUGAUGGUACAUCUGAUACUAGUAAAGCCCUUAAAGGUUUUCUUCCAAUUAGUGGAGGAGAUGCUCUUUUCAUUCAUCCUCAUUUCCUUAUAAAUAUUCCAGUUGCUCUGUUGAUUUCAAGUCUGCAUAUCUGCCUUGAAAGAUCACCACAUGUUUGCUUCCAACACAUCAAGGCUAUGCCAUCCAAAUCCCCCAGAAGGAUAUGAAACUAUGUGAAAGUUGAAGAAAUUGGUCUCUAAGUAGUUACAGAAUACAGUAUUAUGAAAAUCACCCAACGCUAAGAACAUAAAAUUUAAGCAGUUCAGCAACUUGCUUACUCUUCAAAACACAUUUACUAUAAAAAAUAAUCAAACACCCUCCUCAAUCAACAAUCUAAAUUCCACUUCACAAAGCACAAUCUCUUUGUUGUUACACUUCAUUAUGCAUACACCUCAUAUAUAUACUCAAGGAUAGAUAGGAACUUACAUUUGCAUAUCAGUUCGCUUCUCAAUACAAUGAUGACAGGCCGGAAAAUAGAUUGUUAAUAGUCAUUCCCUUCAAGGAGAUUCUGGGACGAGGCUUGUGGCCACUAUAGGACUCCUAACAACAUAUUUACCUCCAUCAUGCAUCCAGCUUAAUGACCCGUGGACCACUACAUCUUCCAAUAAUUUUGGACCCUCCAAAGUAAGUUUGAAGCUCAGCUUCUCAUGCUCCUUAUUGAAAAUCAAUUUCUCUGGCUCCACAUUGACCUUUAUUCCAUUCAUGGGUGUCACUUUUGCAGUAUAACUCGAAAUGGCCUCUCCAACAUUAGUCAAAGUCCUUCGAAAUUCGUGCACAAAUUUCCCAUCUGAACCUGAGUAAGCAAUAAAAGAUGGAUAAUUAAGAUCCAAGGACUUGUUUAAACAAUUUUGAGUGGAUCUUGUGAUGAUUUGUAUUUGUUUCUUUGUGUAGUUCAUUGCACAAAGAAGCUUUAUGUAGUCCUCGGCUGUGGCAUCAUAGAUGAGCCCUGGAUCAAGUGAUUUGUUGGGAUCCAUGUGGCCAGCUCCUAUGUCUAAAGGGGUGGCUGCCAAAUUAUAAUUUGCAACAUCUUUAAUAGGGUUAUGAGUGUUAUCUAGUGGAUUUGCUGUGGUCAUAAGGGCAGAUCUAAUGGCUGCCGGGCUCCAAUCUGGGUGUGCUUUUUUAAUAAGUGCAGCCACACCCGCAACAUGAGGGGCUGCCAUUGAAGUGCCUGAUAAGAGAUUGAAUUUGCUAAACAAUGGAUGUGAUUGAACCUGAGCUACUGAGCUAAUUGGAGACCAUGAUGCUAGGACUAAUGAGCCAGGAGCCAGAAUGUCUGGCUUUAGGACAUGCUGACAGCUUGGAAAUGGCCCUCUGGAGCUAUAACCACCCACCUUUGGUGCUGCCUUAGUGCCAAUAAUUGUCUUCCGAAAUUGCAAACUUCCUUUUGGAUUAUUUCUCUUCUGUAUGUAUUCUACUACCUUCUGCCCAGCUUGUAGACCGAUAAAUGCUGCUGGAAACGAACUUCGAGUGUAGUAUUCUGAAAGAGAUAUAUUAGUAACGAAAACGGCUCCUGAAACUUUUGCAGACUUAGCUUUUUCAACUUGAUCACUGAUACUUAGAUUGUCCUUGCACACAAUAAUAUUAUUCUUAAAUUUCUUCAUUUUGUGCACACUUUCACAGCCAUCCAAGAAAACAAGAGGUCUUUGGAUUAGAGAUGAAUUUCCCGGAUACAAUGUGGUGAAGUUGAUCUGGUUCCCAUCACCUAAAGUGAAAAUUCCUUCAAAUUCGCGGUCUACAGUACCUGCUCCAACUGUUAGCAGCCAUGGAGCUCCAUUGACUACUGUCCAAUAUAGAGAACCAUCAUUUCCAGCUGAAGCCGCUACAAAUAUACCCUUUUCCAUAGCUGCAAAAGUGGCUAUUGCCAUUGAAUCAUCUUCCAAAAAGAUGUCAUCUAAAGCGAAGGCCAACGAUAAGGAUAAUAUAUCCACCCCAUCUUGAAUUGCUUGGUCUAUGGCAGCAAGAACAUCAGAUUCAUAAACCCCAUAUGUCCAAAUUGCUUUGUACAUGGCUAUUCUAGCCCGAGGCGCCAUACCUGAAGCUGUACCAGAGGCAUAACCAAAAUAAGACGCUCCUUUCACAUAGUUGCCUGCAGCGAUUGACGCAGUGUGCGUUCCAUGUCCACUUGUAUCUCUGGGAGAGUUCACUGAAAUUUUCAACUUAGGAUUGUUUGCAAGCAGACCCUUGUUGUAAAAGUGAGCACCGAUGAGUUUCUUGUUACACAAGGAAGAAUUAAAUCGAGUGCCUGAUGCACAUUUUCCUUUCCAUCUAGAAGGAAUUACAGUCAUUCCUUCAUCGCUAAAGCUCUCACUCUCUGGCCAAAUUCCAGUAUCAACCAAACCAAUAAUAACAUCUUCACCAUAAUUUGUAGCUGGCCAAGCACCGGAAACUGAGCUUAGGCCAAUAAACUGGGACGUGUGAGUUGUGAGAACUUUAAGAGGACGAUCUCGGGUAGAAGAAAUGUAGCCAGGGGAUUUCUUGAGUUUUUCAAGUUCAGAACUGGUGAGAAUGGCACUAAAUCCAUGGACAGAACUCGCGUAAGUAUAUAUAUGCUUAGAGUUUGGAGUGAAAGUUGUUUUGGAAGUGUCUGAUAUGGAAGAAAUAGUGGUUAGAUACCAGUUAUGGUGGUCAGAGAAUGCUUUAGGCAUGGCUGACAAGUCCAUGUGAAUGAUAUAUGCAUUAGAUUGUGCCAAAACAGAGGAUAGGAGAGAAAUCGUGAUCAGAAGUAUACAUCCCAGCGCUACCACUACCUUGAAAAUUGGAGGAGCCAUGGGUGAUUGCAAUGCCCUUCUAUGGGCAGAAUCUUUGCCUUUAGGAGUUCAAAUGUAAAGAGUUCACUUUUCCCCCCUAUAGCUGCCUUCUAAAGAAGAGACCAUAGCAUAAAAAAGAUACGUUUCCAGACUCUUCCAGGGGCCAGUAAGAGUGUAU